AUGGCGAUUGGCUCAAAGCUUUAUACCCACAGCGAGCCACCUUCAUCAUCGCAAUAUGUCACCAAGAAGCUCAUGUCACUUAUGUGGUGCCAAGGGACACUUGGAGGCCGGCAUGCACUGUUGGAAUGCUCAAUGGCGAGGAGGACACAAGGGAGACCGAGACACCGAGGCCUUUGGCUGCUCGUUCGACAGCUCAUCGUGCAAACUGAAUGGUUUUCUCCUCCUGACGAUCUGGUGAAAGUAAACGUCGACGCUGCUAUUGGCCGAGGCGCAUUUGGUGUCGUGGGCGCCUUGUGGAGAGAUCAAGAUGGAAAAUUCCUAGGUGCAUCCACAAUAGCCUUUCCAAACAUAUCAGAUUCGGCGAUAUUAGAGGCUUUGGUGAUCGUUGAUGGUAUCAAGCAGAAGAGUGCGGCGAAGAGCUCGAAUAUCGAGGCCCGCAAACUCGUGAAGCAUGCAUUAUUUCUAGGGACUGGCCGCCAGCUGCGCUCGUUCGUCAUGGCGGGCGCAUGCGCUACACGACAAGAAAUUCUAUGCUCCUGUCUCCCGCCUCUUUCUCACACGUGGUUCCAAUACACAGCCCACAGAAAUGAAUUAACGCACAGAAAAAGGAGCUGGUCCACCGUGUCUCAGUGCGCCCAUCCAUGUCGUGAUUUCCCAACAAGAUCCCACGCAACUGAAAAAACAGAUGGUGUGAUAGCAUUAUUCUUUCCUUUUCUGGGGGAGUCUAUCGGCCAACGCUACCGAGCACGCGAAGACGACAGCCAAAACAGCAAAGAAAACACUUCAGAACAUAGUCCCAACGUGCCAUAUUUCAUGUGUCACACCCCAGGGGACAAAUCCUCCUUGGGAUCGGCGCACGAUCAGCGCAGGCAAUCUGCGCCGAGAUCAGCACAUCCAGGCGCGUCAGGCGCAUCCGACGCGACAGCACCAGACUUGGUCGCUCGUGCGAGCGCCACCGAAUCCGCGCGUGACACGCGGCAACCCACGGCUAGAGGAAACACGUCCCCAGCCCCGCACCAUUCUCCCACCGCCAUGCGUCGCACUACAGGCGGCACGCGAUUUCCUCCCGAAUCGCGCUGCUACAAGCGGCAGCUCCAACCAGGCCCGAUCGAUCGACGGGUGCUGGGUCUGGCGUGGGAUCCGGCGCUGAGAUCUUCUGCGGCCACUCCCUCGUCUGCAACGCGCCACAUGGCCAUAGAAGAUCAGGAGGAGCUGGUCCCUGACGGAUUCUCCUCGGGAUCACUAGCGACCAGAUCUCCUGUGCCUGUCUCAGGAUCUUCUGCGCUGGCUGAAAUUGCUGCACCGCCUCCACGAAGAACGAGACUACAACAAGGGGGAGAAACCUUAUCAUCUUCUAUGGUGGGCGCACAAGGAUUUGAAUCUGUGUACAAAAUGAGAAGAAGCACCUUCAUUUAUGUCUACAGCCUGGUGAGGAUCUCAUUUUUGGAAGAUAUGAUGGCAAGGGAGCCCACCUUUGUUGAUGGGAGAGUGUUGUCUUUACAAGACAGAGUGGUUGUCGCUCUGAGAAUGCUGAACUCUGGUGACUGUCCGGUUAUCGUAGGAUCCUCUCUUGGUGUGGAUGAGUCAACUGUCUCACUGGCUAUGUGGGACCAAGCAAUGCACCACUGCAGCUGGCCUGGCUCCACUAAAAUGGAGAAGAUCAAGCGCAAGUUUGACAAGAUCCACGGCCUGCCAAACUGUUGUGGCGUUGUACAUACUGCUCGCAUCUCGUUUGGAUCAACAAACUGUGACGAUGUGGAGAAUGACAGUGAGCUAAUCCAAGCCGUCGUUAAUCCAGAUAUGAGGUUCCUAGACAUUUGGUGGAACUUGUCAGCUAGUAUGAACCAAUCGAGCCUUUUGCUCGACUCUGAGCUCCUUGAGAAGUGUGAGAAUGGUGCUUGGCUUAAUGGCAGUAUGCUGAGGCUAUCAGAUGGCCUGGAUGUCGGCGAAUACAUAAUUGGUGAUGCUGGAUACACACUUCGUCCAUGGCUCCUGACACCUUACCAGAUGGAAAAUGGCGUCUCACUCUCAUACUCCAAAGUGGAGUUCAACAGGAGACACACUGCAGCUACAGCCGUUGUCAUGCACCGGACAAUCGGCACAUGUUGCGCAUUGCAUAACAUAGUGAUAGACAUGGAGGGGGGUCCGGAGGAAGCUGAGGAUGAGGAUCAGGAGGAGAGUUACACCGCGCAAGUGCGGCAACUAGCAGAUGAGGACGCCGUCAGGACGAGGGAUGCUCUGUCCCAGCACUUGAUUGAAUCUGGAGGUUUAGUCUAUCCAACUGAGAACAAUCUCCACCAACUGCUGAGAAGAACGUGGCUGGGAGUAGCAGCCGAAGGCCUGAGGGCGGCUUCUGCACUAAUUUUCUCUGUCGAGAGGGGGACAGAGGGUCGAUCUCCAUCCAAGACGCAUCCGUUGCGCUGCUUCCAGAUCAUCCGUCCUGUCAAUAGUGCUACGGUGGCGAGUCCCUUGCGGAGUGGUUUGGGGGUCGUCUCCUUGGCAGCGAGCCACCAUUCGUUGAGGGAGUUGUCGCGGUCGGGUGGUCUGCAAGUCAUCCUUAACCAGGAGAGGAGAGAAGAUCUGCAAACAAAAUGGCAGUUAUCCAGAAAGCAAUUAAUCUCAUGGCCAGUCCUGUUGAGCCCUGUGGAGCCAGUAGCAUCAGUGUUCCUGAGCUUCAUCUCAAAAGCAAUGAUUAUUUCAGCCAAUCUUGACGCUGCAGAUGCACUGAUGGAACAUAUGUUAGUUAGUGUUAAGCGUGUUCAUCUGACAGUUCGACUGACAGAUGUGGUUGACAAGGCGGAGAACUGGCAGGCACUUGUUGGCUUGCAGAUUGUCCGAGCCUGGAUUGGAGCUGGAGGAUUGACGUUCUUAAAGAGUUGUGACUCCCACGUUCUCCUCCUUGCAUUCUACUCUCAAAAGCAGUUGAGCAUCAGUAAGCAGCAGUCGAGCAUUAUAAUUCUUCAGAACAAGAGGACAGAGACACUGAUCUCACAUUACACCAUACACAGAACCGGCUCAGGAUUGCAAUCAGGAGGAGAAUUACCAAGCAGCUGCAAGCGCGCAGAUUUUCCGAGCCUGGGGCUGGAGGAUCGACAUUCCAUGAUCCGGAGCGGGAGGGCAGGGAGGCCUCCCCGGCGACGCCUUGGGGGGAGCGAUGCAAUGAGGGAUGACAUUUCUUCUAAGGAGGUGUGGUCUUUGUCUCCUGCUAAUAGUUCUGGUCGCUUUGGAGUGGGUUGUAGAUUCUCAUGUAUUCUUGUUUUCUCUUUGAUCUGCUCUGUAAGACAUUUAUAG
rnacentral:rRNA from 1 species